UACAGAGGUCCCGAGCGUUGUUCGGAUUCACUGGGCGUAAAGGGUGCGUAGGUGGUGAGGUAAGUCGGAUGUGAAAUCUCCGGGCUCAACCCGGAAAUGGCAUUGGAAACUACCUUGCUAGAGGAUUUGAGGGGGGAUUGGAAUACUUGGUGUAGCAGUGAAAUGCGUAGAUAUCAAGUGGAACACCAGUGGCGAAGGCGAAUCCCUGGCCUGUUCUUGACGCUGAGGCGCGAAAGCUAGGGUAGCAAACGGG
rnacentral:rRNA from 1 species